AUACAUGCAGUCGAGCGGACAGAAGGGAGCUUGCUCCCGGAUGUUAGCGGCGGACGGGUGAGUAACACGUGGGUAACCUGCCUGUAAGACUGGGAUAACUCCGGGAAACCGGAGCUAAUACCGGAUAGUUCCCCUGANACCGCAUNNNGNNGUUCAAGAGAUGAAAGACGGUUUCGGCUGUCACUUACAGAUGGACCCGCGGCGCAUUAGCUAGUUGGUGAGGUAACGGCUCANCCAAGGCGACGAUUGCGUAGCCGACCUGAGAGGGUGAUCGGCCACACUGGAACUGAGACACGGCCCAGACUCCUACGGGAGGCAGCAGUAGGGAAUCUUCCGCAAUGGACGAAAGUCUGACGGAGCAACGCCGCGUGAGUGAUGAAGGUUUUCGGAUCGUAAAGCUCUGUUGUUAGGGAAGAACAAGUGCAAGAGUAACUGCUUGCACCUUGACGGUACCUAACCAGAAAGCCACGGCUAACUACGUGCCAGCAGCCGCGGUAAUACGUAGGUGGCAAGCGUUGUCCGGAAUUAUUGGGCGUAAAGGGCUCGCAGGCGGUUUCUUAAGUCUGAUGUGAAAGCCCCCGGCUCAACCGGGGAGGGUCAUUGGAAACUGGGAAACUUGAGUGCAGAAGAGGAGAGUGGAAUUCCACGUGUAGCGGUGAAAUGCGUAGAGAUGUGGAGGAACACCAGUGGCGAAGGCGACUCUCUGGUCUGUAACUGACGCUGAGGAGCGAAAGCGUGGGGAGCGAACAGGAUUAGAUACCCUGGUAGUCCACGCCGUAAACGAUGAGUGCUAAGUGUUAGGGGGUUUCCGCCCCUUAGUGCUGCAGCUAACGCAUUAAGCACUCCGCCUGGGGAGUACGGUCGCAAGACUGAAACUCAAAGGAAUUGACGGGGGCCCGCACAAGCGGUGGAGCAUGUGGUUUAAUUCGAAGCAACGCGAAGAACCUUACCAGGUCUUGACAUCCUCUGACAACCCUAGAGAUAGGGCUUUCCCUUCGGGGACAGAGUGACAGGUGGUGCAUGGUUGUCGUCAGCUCGUGUCGUGAGAUGUUGGGUUAAGUCCCGCAACGAGCGCAACCCUUGAUCUUAGUUGCCAGCAUUCAGUUGGGCACUCUAAGGUGACUGCCGGUGACAAACCGGAGGAAGGUGGGGAUGACGUCAAAUCAUCAUGCCCCUUAUGACCUGGGCUACACACGUGCUACAAUGGACAGAACAAAGGGCUGCGAGACCGCAAGGUUUAGCCAAUCCCACAAAUCUGUUCUCAGUUCGGAUCGCAGUCUGCAACUCGNAACUGNCGUGNNNNNNNAAGCUGGAAUCGCUAGUAAUCGCGGAUCAGCAUGCCGCGGUGAAUACGUUCCCGGGCCUUGUACACACCGCCCGUCACACCACGAGAGUUUGCAACACCCGAAGUCGGUGAGGUAACCUUUAUGGAGCCAGCCGCCGAAGG
rnacentral:rRNA from 1 species